UAUGCCCUUAGAGACAUUGCAGGUGUGGCUGCUGUGUCACAUAUGUGUCAGAAGGUGCCAGAAAAGAGAGACUAUACCUAUCUGUUGUGACCUGUAAACAUUUGAAAGAUUAGUAGCCUAACAUC